rfam:Hordeum vulgare subsp. vulgare, WGS project CAJW01000000 data, contig: morex_contig_1562796
AUUAUACUCCCUCCGUCCCAAAAUUAUUGUCUUAGCUUUGUCUAGAAAUGAAUGAAUCAAAAUACUAGAAUGUGACUAGAUACAUUCAUAUUUAAACAAAUCUAAAACAAGAAUUUUGGGACGGAGGGAGUACUAA